CCGAUCCCCCUGAGCCCAAGCACGUAGUGACUGUGGGCCGUGUAGUGUAGGAUGUGUGGAUUUCUGUUGUCCCUAUAGGUGGUUUUCUAGUUAUGGGAACAUUGAAGGUUGUGCCGUUUUUAGUAUUUGGAAUAAUUGUUUUGAUGCAUUGGGGGUCACGUUUAUCUGGUGCAUGGCAUACUUCCUUCUAGGGGGUAUUUAAGGCCAUUACACAUGUUGGCUCCUUGUGUGGCUGUAGCAGUAUUGUGACCCCGAUGUGACAUCAAACGUGAUGUUUGGUGUCCAUGUGUCUGGUUGACCUUUUUUUGCUGAAAGUGGAUCUAUUAUGCUCUAAUUUGUUAUAUGCACCAUGAAUGGAUACUACACGGCCACCAUAUUGUCUGAAUAUGACAUACUGUAUUAUCUUAUGAUCAGUAUAUGAUAUUUGGAAAUGAUAUUUUGCACACGGAAACUUGUCUUGAUAAAGAUCCCUAAUAGUGGAUCGAAACGUCGACAACAAUAAGCCUGACUUCUACUGAAAUAAAGUUAUUGUGAAAUUGAA